GAUAAACGCUGGCGGCGUGCCUAAUACAUGCAAGUCGAACGAGAAUAGAAAGAAACUUGUUUCAAUUUAUUCUAGUGGCGAACGGGUGAGUAAUACAUAAGCAACCUGCCUAUAUGGACUGGGAUAACGUUUGGAAACGAACGCUAAUACCGGAUAGGUAAUCGGAAGGCAUCUUCUGAUUAUUAAAGGUUAGAAACACAAAUAGAUGGGCUUAUGGCGCAUUAGCUAGUUGGUGAGGUAACGGCUCACCAAGGCGAUGAUGCGUAGCCGACCUGAGAGGGUGAUCGGCCACAUUGGGACUGAGACACGGCCCAAACUCCUACGGGAGGCAGCAGUAGGGAAUUUUCGGCAAUGGGGGAAACCCUGACCGAGCAACGCCGCGUGAGUGAUGAAGGCCUUCGGGUUGUAAAGCGUACUGUUCGUAAAGGAAGAAAC
rnacentral:rRNA from 1 species